GGGCGAAAGCGCGAGGGAGUAUCCCGAGUGUCACCUGCUGAAGGUGACUUUUCGCUAGUCUUCAAAGCUGGCGGAAUAAGGGGAGGGUAAGCCGGGUGUCAGCCGCCGCGGUAAUACCCGCUCCCCGAGUGGUGAGGACAAUUAUUGGGCUUAAAGCGUCCGUAGCCGGCUCCGCAAGUUUCCCGUUAAAUCCAACGGCUUAACCGUUGGGCCGCGGGAAAUACUACGGAGCUCGGAGGCGGGAGAGGUCAUCGGUAGUCCUGGGGUAGGGGCAAAAUCUUCUGAUCCCAGGAGGACCACCAGUGGCGAAGGCGGAUGACCAGAACGCGCUCGACGGUGAUGGACGAAAGCUGGGGGAGCGAACCGGAUUAGAUA
rnacentral:rRNA from 1 species